UUGAGUACAAUGGCUGGGCUGUUUACGGUUGAGCUCAGUUCAGGCAAAACCAAGAAGGUUGCCAAAGUGAAAAUGGCUAAGAAUGUCACUCCUUGGUCAAGCUUCUACACUCAAGACCAUGCUAGGCGCAUGAUGCCACAGCCAUGACAAGGGUCAUCCAUCCAUCUAUCAAGCCAAGCAUGAACUGCCUGCCAUUUUGCAUGAGGAGUUCUGGAGCUGCAUGAGUAAUGGCCAAGUUUAUGUGGAGAAAUGUGGAGCCUUUUGGGGUAUGAUCUGAAGCAUGGAGCCUUUGACUUGGUUUCAGAGGAACACUUGCAAUCAGUUUGUUCCUUUUAGAGGAACGGUAGCUUUCUGGUCAGUUAAUCCAGUACUAGUGUGGCCAUAUAAUUAUGUGAAAGACUUUUACACUGUCAUGACGGUGUGACUAAAUGUUUGCACUAUGUGUGCUGUCACUGAGACUUGUUAAUUUGUGCUGUGACAACUGCAUGCUCGUCACAUGUAUGAAU